rnacentral:rRNA from 1 species
UUUACGGAGAGUUUGAUUCUGGCUCAGGACGAACGCUGGCGGCGUGCUUAACACAUGCAAGUCGAACGGUGACGACCAGCUUGCUGGUCUGAUCAGUGGCGAACGGGUGAGUAACACGUGAGCAACCUGCCCCUGACUCUGGGAUAACGACCGGAAACGGUCGCUAAUACCGGAUAUGAGACGUACAGGCAUCUGUUGCGUCUGGAAAGUUUUUCGGUCAGGGAUGGGCUCGCGGCCUAUCAGCUUGUUGGUGGGGUAACGGCCUACCAAGGCGACGACGGGUAGCCGGCCUGAGAGGGCGACCGGCCACACUGGGACUGAGACA